AGCGGCCCCUUCAAAACUGAGCUGUGUUCCCUGAGCUGUGCCCUGCUGCCAAGCCAGCCCCACACCGCUGCCUCUGCCUGAUCCAGGCUGUCAGAUGAAGGUUCUCCCGACCUCCAGAAAGCAUCGCAGAGCAGCGGGGGAAGGGGCUGGAGCUGACAGGCUGCAGACCUGCCUGGUAGCCAUGUAAAAUCCCCCGAGAGACG